rnacentral:lncRNA from 1 species
UGCAGGCUGAACUGAAGGGCUGGGCAAAGCUAGAGCUCGAGAGACAGAAGGAUCAAAGGAGCGACGAUAUUUCACAGAUUCUUGUCUUAAGAACAACCGUGUCCCAGAGGGUCAGGUUUCAAAGAGGAAUUAUCAGAGACGGGAGGAAAGAAAUACAGAUCUGCUUUCCUUUGUGAGAGCUGCCAUAUUUCAUUCUGAAUCUUUGACAGUUCAGGACUAUAAUCAAACAGAAGAAAUAAUAACUGGAACAGAAGGAAAAAGAAAAAAUUUUAAAAGCCAGACCAGGAAUCAAUUCAGGAAAUAUACCUUGUUUGAUCCACGGUAAUUUGGGAAGCAAGGAGGCAGCUUUCUAGGGGUAGGCUGGCCAGUUAGGAGGAAAGUCUCCCCAUCUUUCUGUGGCAGCUUCCCUUUAGUGGGGAAGUCUCUAGUAAUGUAAGCAGCCUGCCAUGACGACAACAAAAGCCCUUAGUGAUGGUCGCUAUGAAGGCUUUCCUUUUAUGAAACAUUGGGCAAAAUGGAAGAUUAUAUGAGCCACAGAGGAGAAAAGUCCAUACAGGCUGUCCAAUUUUAAUGGACUUUAUUCAGUCCAAUUCCAUUCAUAUGAAUCCAACCCAAUUCAAUUCAACAAACAUUUAUUGGACAUUCAUUCUAUGCCAGGAGCUGGAGUAGAUGCCAAGGACUCUAAGACGAAAAUGGAAUUGUCCGGGGAGGCAAGCUCUGCAAUUGGAACCAAGAGAAUUUGAAUUUGAAUUCUACCUCUGUUCCUUGUUACCUGGGAUUAAACUCUAGGGGCAGAGUUUACUUAGCUGUAAAAUGAUGAGGCUGGAUUAAAUGUUCUCUGAUGUCCUUUUCACUCAAGAGACAAGAUUCUAUGAGUUUCAAGGAAUUUAUUCUACUGCCCGGGUAAGAUGGGGAGGAUACCACCUGUAUGAAAUAAAUAACAAUGCAUGUAAUCCAACACCUGAGGGAUUCUGGAAAGAUCCUGAGUAAGCAGUGACACCUAACCUGUGCUCUGAAGAAAGCUAGGGAUUCCAAGAGGCAGAGGCUUGCCUUCUCCUCCAACCUAUGUAGGCAUGCAGGCCAUUGGACCAUAAGGCACAGGAGAAGGGGUUGUGGAAGGAAAGAAAGACAGAGGAAAAGAGAGGAAGAAAAAGAAAGGAGGGAAAGAAAGAAAGAAAGAAAGAGAAAGAAAGAAAGAAAGAAAGAAAGAAAGAAAGAAAGAAAGAAAGAAAGAAAGAAAGAAAGAAAGAAAGAAAGAAAGAAAGAAAGAAAGAAAGAAAGAAAGAAAGAAAGAAAGAAAGAAAGAAAGAAAGAAAGAAAGAAAGAAAGAAAGAAAGAAAGGAAGGAAGGAAGGAAGGAAGAAAGGAAGGAAGAAAGAAAGGAAGGAAGGAAGGAAGGAAGGAAGGAAGGAAGGAAGGAGGAAGGAAGGAAGGAAGGAAGGAAGGAAGGAAGGGAGGGAGGGAGGGAGGGAGGGAGGAAGAAAAGGAAGGGAGGGAGAGAGAGAGAGAGAGAGGGAGGGAGGGAGGGAAGGAAAAAAGAAGGAAGGGAGGACAGAAGAAAUUGCAUCUUUCCAUGUUGGUCCCUAGAGGCAAAUUCUUGCUGCCCUUAUUUAUCUGCAGCUUUUUCCAGACCAUACAAUUCCUGGAAAUAG